rnacentral:rRNA from 1 species
UACGUAGGGCGCAAGCGUUGUCCGGAAUUAUUGGGCGUAAAGAGCUCGUAGGCGGCUUGUCACGUCGGGUGUGAAAGCCCGGGGCUUAACCCCGGGUCUGCAUUCGAUACGGGCUAGCUAGAGUGUGGUAGGGGAGAUCGGAAUUCCUGGUGUAGCGGUGAAAUGCGUAGAUAUCUGGAGGAACACCGGUGGCGAAGGCGGCAUCCUGGACCGGCAUUGACGCUGAGGAGCGAAAGCGUGGGGAGCAAACAGG